CCUACGGGGGGCAGCAGUGGGGAAUAUUGGACAAUGGGGGGAACCCUGAUCCAGCCAUGCCGCGUGUGUGAAGAAGGCCCUCGGGUUGUAAAGCACUUUCAGUGAGGAAGAACGCCUGGUGGUUAAUACCCAUCAGGAAAGACAUCACUCACAGAAGAAGCACCGGCUAACUCCGUGCCAGCAGCCGCGGUAAUACGGAGGGUGCGAGCGUUAAUCGGAAUUACUGGGCGUAAAGCGCGCGUAGGUGGCUUGAUAAGCCGGUUGUGAAAGCCCCGGGCUCAACCUGGGAACGGCAUCCUGAACUGUCAAGCUAGAGUGCAGGAGAGGAAGGUAGAAUUCCCGGUGUAGCGGUGAAAUGCGUAGAGAUCGGGAGGAAUACCAGUGGCGAAGGCGGCCUUCUGGACUGACACUGACACUGAGGUGCGAAAGCGUGGGUAGCAAACAGGAUUAGAUACCCCGGUAGUC
rnacentral:rRNA from 1 species